rnacentral:rRNA from 1 species
UACGAAGGGGGCUAGCGUUGCUCGGAAUCACUGGGCCUAAAGGGUGCGUAGGCGGGUUCUUAAGUCAGAGGUGAAAUCCUGGAGCUCAACUCCAGAACUGCCUUUGAUACUGAGAGUCUUGAGUUCGGGAGAGGUGAGUGGAACUGCGAGUGUAGAGGUGAAAUUCGUAGAUAUUCGCAAGAACACCAGUGGCGAAGGCGGCUCACUGGCCCGAUACUGACGCUGAUGCACGAAAGCGUGGGGAGCAAACAGG